rnacentral:rRNA from 1 species
GCAGCAGCCGCGGUAAUACGUAGGGUGCGAGCGUUAAUCGGAAUUACUGGGCGUAAAGCGCACGCAGGCGGUUUGUUAAGUUAGGUGUGAAAUCCCCGAGCUUAACUUGGGAACUGCAUUUGAAACUGGCAAGCUAGAGUCUUGUAGAGGGGGAUGGAAUUCCGCGUGUAGCAGUGAAAUGCGUAGAUAUGCGGAGGAACACCGAUGGCGAAGGCAAUCCCCUGGACCUGUACUGACGCUCAUGCACGAAAGCGUGGGGAGCAAACAGGAUUAGAUACCCGCGUAGUCCCUGUCUCUUAUAC